UAUUUCAGUAAGCCUGCUUGUGUUAUUGAAAAGGGUUAUAAAUGUUUACAUGUGUUCUAAUGGGAGAUGAUAGACAUGGUCAGCUAAAAUGGUUGCUUCUGCUGGGAUAGGGCCUGAAGACCACAUUACACCAGACUGUAUAUUCUUUGUAGAAUGAUAAAGGUUUGGGUUUCUUUGUCUUUUGGGGAGUCACUGUGAGUCAUGAGGUGUGAAUUAGGAACUAACUUUGACACUGCAACUUUGUGAGUGGGGGAGCCUGUUUGAAAAAAAUGAAUUUCAGGGCUUUGACUUCUAAUCAUUACAUUUUUUCCCCCAUAAAAUGGCAACCAGAGUUUUGGAGCCAGUGCAAGGAGUGCUGGUGGAGUGCCUGUAUUGUGGGAGGAGGUUGAGAUGUCUACGCCUAGCUGUCCCAGUACACAAGCCACUGAUGAGGCAAAUGGGCUUGAUCCUGAACAGAUGCAAAAGGACCAAAAGCCUCACUCUCGUCGUCUUG